GAUGAACGCUGACAGAAUGCUUAACACAUGCAAGUCAACUUGAGCUUCGGUUUGGGUGGCGGACGGGUGAGUAACGCGUAAAGAACUUGCCUCACAGAUAGGGACAACAUUUGGAAACGAAUGCUAAUACCUGAUAUUAUGAUUAUAUGGCAUCGUAUAAUUAUGAAAGCUAUAUGCGCUGUGAGAGAGCUUUGCGUCCCAUUAGCUAGUUGGAGAGGUAACGGCUCACCAAGGCGAUGAUGGGUAGCCGGCCUGAGAGGGUGAUCGGCCACAAGGGGACUGAGACACGGCCCUUACUCCUACGGGAGGCAGCAGUGGGGAAUAUUGGACAAUGGACCAAGAGUCUGAUCCAGCAAUUCUGUGUGCACGAUGAAGUUUUUCGGAAUGUAAAGUGCUUUCAGUUGGGAAGAAAAAAAUGACGGUACCAACAGAAGAAGUGACGGCUAAAUACGUG
rnacentral:rRNA from 1 species